GCCCUCGCCUCCGAGGCACUGAAGUUGCUGCCUCUGUCUGUCUUCCCUGGGUCUGCGACUCCUUGAGAGUGUAUACAGCAAAGUGAUCCAAAGGUGGGGCUAAAAUGCUAAACAAGCUUUGUCUUCUGCCUGAAGUGACUGCAGCAAAUUCCCAAUGUGGCUGUUGAAAGGUAACUGCCUUCUGACCUGCAAAGGCUAUAAGCUUGUGCUUCAUCCAGUCCAGCGUUUCACAUGAUGUACUAUGAUGAUGGAAGCUGAGAAGUCCCAGAGCUGCCCUGGUGUCUGCAAGCUGGAGGCCCAGGGAAGCUGGUGGUGUGAUUCCUCUCCAAACCUGGAUGCCGGAGAACAAGAGGAGCCAAGAACAUCAGUCCCAGUCUGGGUCCAAAAGGCCUGCGGACUGAUACGUGACCAGAGGCGUCUGGGUCUCCUUGGAGUAGGACACUGCCUCCCUGGGCAGGAAAUGCGCUUGGGUAAACUUCAACAGGCCUAGCUUACGCAGUCUUCUUGUGUUCAUGGUCCCAAGUCUCCUGAGUCUUGGCUUCCAGCUUCACUGGGAGCGAUCACUGAUUUCGAGGAUACAGAUGUAGGGAUUUGGAUCAGAGCGGGCUCCAGACAGAUUCCAUACUUUGUAGCAGGGCCUCUGUCUCUCAUUGUUUGCAAUCCAGGUCAGAGUCAUCCUGAACUGGAUCUUUAUUCUGCUGCAUAUCAGCCUCUUUUGUUUCUCUCUCCUCUUCCUUCAUUUUCCAAUCGUCCCUUAGCUGUGCUCAGAGCUGCUUUUUGCGCUGGACUUCAGCUUUUCACUCACUUUUGUUAGACAUCUGUUUCUGGGUUCUCCACACCAAGUCCUUCCUCUCUUGGUCCUCUGAAGACAGACGCUCCUCACCAGUCAACCACGCACAGGCACCUCCUCCCACUCUUCUUCACCUUGUCCUUCAGUAGCAGCACUUCCUGGCAGGUCCUAAAGAGACUGGGCUCCUGUCAGAGUGAAUGGAACCCCACAGUGCCCCAAAACUGAAGCCCUGGUGGGUCCUGAGGGGAGCCAGCUCCCAUUAGUGUGGACUUGAUAACCCCCCACCCCUGCCCGUGUUCCGGAAGCCAAAGCAGGUUCUGGAGAUGGGACUCCUGUCAGCUGUCAAGACAUCAUUUCUUAAAAUUUGCUUGUGGUGUAGAAUCUGAGAACAUGUCAAUGAGUUUUUUUCUCUGUAACUCAAAACUGAUUGGUCCAUCUUGUACCUUGAAUGGUUCUUUUAUCCAUACAUGAUUCUGUAGCAUCAUGCAUGGAUCAUUUGGAAAAUAUUGGGUCACUUAAGUUAUACAGCUCUUCCAAAUGUUGACACAUAUUGUUAUACAAUGUUUUUAAAAACACUAUUGUUUAUGUCACUGUCCAUCUCCUCAGAAAAAUCUUUAUAGAUUUGAAAUUUGUCAAGGUCAUAGUAGUGGGUAGAAGUUUCCCAAAAUUCCAAUGUUUGCUUGAGAGGUCAAUUUUCUUUCUUUCUUCUUUUUUUCUUUUUGACUGCACCACACAGCAUUCAGGAUCUUAGUCCCCAGACCUAGGAUGGAAUCUACGCCCUGUGCAGUGCAAGUGUGAAGUCUUAACCCCUGGACUGCUAGGGAAGUCCCUCAAAUGUUUACUGUUAAUGACAAAUACUGUCAGUUUUCCUUGGAGUGACAGGCUCACUGGAUUUGUUGUUGAGAAAUGUCCACCAACCAGUUUCUCUCUCAGUCAUUCUUUUAAGUAAAGGUGGUGUUCCUGAAGAAAGCAGCUAGUUCAGCUUGAAACUCAAUCAUACAAGUACUUUUCCUUGAGGCUACCUUAGGAUAGAAGUGCUUCAUGUGCCCUAUUUUGAUGCAAAGCUUAUUAAAAAGAUGGGUUGAGAUUUAAUAAAAUUGCUAUUUUUAACUGAUUCAUCAAAGAGAUUUUUAAGUGGAACUGACAUUGUGAAAAAAACAAAACGGAGUGCAUGCUGGUGAAGAAUAAAAGGACCGCUAGUACAGUUUGGUGCCCUGCCUUGGUUUGUGUUAAAAUGCCAUCAGUUUUACCCACCACUGCUUUUGCAAACAUCAAAAGUAAUGAAAAAGGCGAACUAUAUCUUAGUAUUAUCAUGAAAGGGGUUUACCUGGUGGCUCAGUGGUAAAGAAUCUGCCUGCAACGCAGGGGAUUGCUUGCAGUAGAGCAGGUGUGGGUUCUAUCCCUGGGUCAGGAAGAUCCCCUGGAGGAGGGCAUGGCAACCCACUUCAGUGUUCUUGCCUGGGAAAUCCUGCAGAUAGAGGAAUCUGGAGGGGUAUGGUCCUCGGGGUCACACAAAGUCAGACAUGACUUAGCCACUAAACCACCAUCACCAACACCACCAUUAUCAUGAAAACAGUGCCAAACUUAUGGACCAUCUGACAGGGCCUCAGGGACCCAGGCCCAGUGUGUCUGGACCAAGCUUUGAUAACCCUCAGUUUAGAGUGUUUGCUCUCCCUCAAGCGAUAUGAAGACGUCUUGUAAUCAUGGUUCUCUCUCAAGCAUUUUAAUGCUGAAUACAGGGGAGGGACCGCGUUGUCAAACAUCUAGAAAAAUCAGGAUCCUUCGGUGUUUAAGGACAACAGGCCUUGAGAUGCUAGGUGUUCCCAAAGAGAGGAUAGGAAAGAUCUCCCAGAACCUGUGUCUCAGAUAAAAGUGAAGGUUAUUAGGGCCAGCUGAUUUCUUGAUUUCUCUGGGUAACUUUCUUUUUCUUCUUUCCUAGCUGUGGACAGUUAUGAUGAUGUUCUACAUG
ensembl:lncRNA